AACGAACGCUGGCGGCAUGCCUAACACAUGCAAGUCGAACGAGACCUUCGGGUCUAGUGGCGCACGGGUGCGUAACGCGUGGGAACCUGCCCUUAGGUUCGGAAUAACUCCCUGAAGGGGGUGCUAAUACCGGAUAAUGUCUUCGGACCAAAGAUUUAUCGCCUUUGGAUGGGCCCGCGUUGGAUUAGCUAGUUGGUAGUGUAAAAGCCUACCAAGGCGACGAUCCAUAGCUGGUCUGAGAGGAUGAUCAGCCACACUGGGACUGAGACACGGCCCAGAAUCCUACGGGAGGCAGCAGUGGGGAAUAUUGGACAAUGGGCGAAAGCCUGAUCCAGCAAUGCUGCGUGAGUGAUGAAGGCCUUAGGGUUGUAAAGCUCUUUUACCCGGGAUGAUAAUGACGGUACCGGGAGAAUAAGCUCCGGCUAACUCCGUG
rnacentral:rRNA from 1 species